rnacentral:rRNA from 1 species
GACGAACGCUGGCGGCGUGCUUAACACAUGCAAGUCGAACGGAAAGACCCUGCUUUUGUGGGGUGCUCGAGUGGCGAACGGGUGAGUAACACGUGAGUAACCUGCCCUUGACUUUGGGAUAACUUCAGGAAACUGGGGCUAAUACCGGAUAGGAGCUCCUGCUGCAUGGUGGGGGUUGGAAAGUUUCGGCGGUUGGGGAUGGACUCGCGGCUUAUCAGCUUGUUGGUGUGGUAGUGGCUUACCAAGGCUUUGACGGGUAGCCGGCCUGAGAGGGUUACCGGGCACAAUGGGACUAAGGGACGGCCCAGACUCCUACGGGAGGCAGCAGGGGGGAAUAUGGCACAAUGGGCGGAAGCCUGAUGCAGCAACGCCGCGUGCGGGAUGACGGCCUUCGGGUGGUAAACAGCUUUCGACGGUGACGAAGAGUGAGUGACGGUAAUGGGUAAAGAAGCACCGGCUAACUACGUG